CACCGGCAGCUCAAGUGGUAGCCAUUUUUAUUGGGCCUAAAGCGUUCGUAGCCGGUUUGAUAAGUCUCUGGUGAAAUCCCACAGCUUAACUGUGGGAAUUGCUGGAGAUACUAUUAGACUUGAGGUCGGGAGAGGUUAGCGGUACUCCCAGGGUAGGGGUGAAAUCCUGUAAUCCUGGGAGGACCACCUGUGGCGAAGGCGGCUAACUGGAACGAACCUGACGGCCCCCGACGAAAGCCAGGGGC
rnacentral:rRNA from 1 species